rnacentral:rRNA from 1 species
AUACGGAGGGUGCAAGCGUUAAUCGGAAUUACUGGGCGUAAAGCGUGCGUAGGUGGUUUGUUAAGUUAGAUGUGAAAGCCCCGGGCUCAACCUGGGAACUGCAUUUGAAACUGGCAUACUCGAGUAUAGGAGAGGAAAGUGGAAUUUCAGGUGUAGCGGUGAAAUGCGUAGAUAUCUGAAGGAACAUCAAUGGCGAAGGCAGCUUUCUGGACUAAUACUGACACUGAGGUACGAAAGCGUGGGUAGCAAACAGGAUUAGAUACCCUAGUAGUCC